GACCCACCAGUUUGAUCUGCUCAUUCUUGAUCAGGAUGAGACUGAUACCCUGUGAAAUGCAGCAGAAUCAGCUCCUGGAAUUGUGUUAGCAGAAUGACAGGAGUAUGAGAUCCACCACAUGGCAGGGCACCCCAGGAACCUGCUUUCUUCUUGAAGAACAACUGAAAACUAUUUCCAAAUUAUCCUUCAUUUUGAGCCAGGCAAUGGUCAGGUGGAGUAAAACAUAGGGAAGAGCGUCUUUUUGGUUCAAAGAAUAAAAAAAAAAUUGGGCCAACAUGUAGGUGACUGAUUUCUGCCUGGACUGAGGAUUCAAAAGAUGUGUGAAACACAGCCUGAACAUGCCCCAACCUGCUGACAAAUUCCACCCCAAAGAGUGGAAGAAACACACCUACAACAUAAGCAGAGAAGAUUUUUCUUCUGUACUUUCUAGGACUUGAAGCUGCUUUGUUUUUUUGGUUGCUGGGUGGGGAAGGAGGAACUAUAGUAUAGCUUCCAGAAGACAGAAGAGAGUUAUCUCUUGAGUGUGAAUUUAGCAGUACCAAGAGGCCUCAAAAUAGCUCUCUUUCCUGCUUGAAAUUGUACUGUCAAGAGUUUUUCUUUAGGUUUAAAAUCUUGAAAGCUCCGUAAUGCUCCUGAGUCGAACAAUAAAGCCAUUAGUAGUCAA